rnacentral:rRNA from 1 species
CUACGGGAGGCAGCAGUAAGGAAUAUUGGUCAAUGGACGAAAGUCUGAACCAGCCAUGCCGCGUGAAGGAUUAAGGCCCUCUGGGUUGUAAACUUCUUUUAUCUGGGACGAAAAAAGGGUAUUCUUACUCACUUGACGGUACCAGAGGAAUAAGCACCGGCUAACUCCGUGCCAGCAGCCGCGGUAAUACGGAGGGUGCAAGCGUUAUCCGGAUUUACUGGGUUUAAAGGGUGCGUAGGUGGGCUUGUAAGUCAGUGGUGAAAUCUCCGGGCUUAACCCGGAAACUGCCAUUGAUACUAUAGGUCUUGAAUUAUCUGGAGGUAAGCGGAAUAUGUCAUGUAGCGGUGAAAUGCUUAGAUAUGACAUAGAACACCAAUUGCGAAGGCAGCUUACUACGGAUAUAUUGACACUGAGGCACGAAAGCGUGGGGAUCAAACAGGAUUAGAUACCCUGGUAGUCCACGCCCUAAACGAUGGAUACUCGACAUCAGACGAUACACUGUUGGUUGUCGUGAGAGAAGACAUAAGUAGUACCUACCGUACGGUAAGGUACGAGUACGCGAAGUAGUUAGUUAAACGUUAACGUAAAGUUAAGUUAAGUUAGUUACGGCGUUGAGACGACGACGACGGACGACGACGAGGGAGGAGG